rnacentral:rRNA from 1 species
AUCACAUCCUGGGGCUGAAGUAGGUCCCAAGGGUAUGGCUGUUCGCCAUUUAAAGUGGUACGCGAGCUGGGUUUAGAACGUCGUGAGACAGUUCGGUCCCUAUCUGCCGUGGGCGUUGGAGAAUUGAUUGGAGCUGCUCCUAGUACGAGAGGACCGGAGUGGACACAUCACUGGUGUUCCAGUUGUCUCGCCAGAGGCAUUGCUGGGUAGCUACAUGUGGAAUAGAUAAGCGCUGAAAGCAUCUAAGCACGAAACUAGCCAAGAGAUGAGUUCUCCCAACUUUAGAAGUUGUAAGGGUUGUUUGAGACUAAGACGUAGAUAGGCAGGGUGUGUAAGCGUUGUGAGACGUUGAGCUAACCUGUACUAAUUGCCCGAGAGGCUUAACCAU